CGCGGGAAGGCGCCCUGGCCCCGCCAGGCCUGCCCUGCCCUGCCUGCGGCGGCCGGGCUUGGCCUCUCUCAGGUGCGGCAGGAGGACGAGUGUGGUGAGGGAAGAGGCCAGUGACCCGCUCGAUGCCGCGCACAAGAGCAGGACCGGCUGAAUCGGGAAAGUCCCGCUUUGAGAUCAGGAUGCGCUGGGCUCCAGUCCUGACUAGUGACAGCUGUGGAAGACACUUGUAUGGUAAGAUGGUGUAG
rnacentral:lncRNA from 1 species